AUGAACUCUUGAUAGCCCAGGCAAGAACUGGGCACCAGCAGCAUUACUUGAUGGUGUCAAAGAGGUAGAGGACCAAAUGCCAGGAUGCAGAGGGAGCCAUGGUGCCUGGACACAGAGACUUUGCCACAGCUAUCAAGUUUGCAAAAUGAAAACAAAGGGAGAGAUUAAUGAGACUCCACCUAGAAGCAGCCACUCCUGGACAGGCUGCCCUUCCUAGAUGGCUUCAGAUGGCUGCCAGGGAACAUCUGCCUGGUUAAGAUUUCAAGUGAAGACCUAAUCGAAGCAGCCCUUUGGCAGGCUUUGCACUGGCCGGCCUGACUCUGACAUACGCUCCGAUGCCCACACAUGGUUGUGGCUGGCAGCUCAGACAGACACGACUGUUUUGGCUUCUGUCAUUUCUUUUUCUUCCUCCAGGCGCUCAAGUUCUUGAUCCCAGCUCGCCUGAUUAGGGGUCGUCAUCAGUCCGCGCACCCUGCCUGUACUUCCUGGGGCCCCCUGGUGGAUGAUCAAAGGAUAAAGGGAUAGUUGGAGGCAGGAAAGAGAGAGUUGGGGAUGAUAGUGCAGUGGACUGUGUGGAUCUUUCCCCAUAGGCUUCUAAGAAGUCUUUUGUGAAUAUCUCUCUCGUCCCCCACUGGGUGAAUGAUUUACUAUGACUAAAGGGGCCACACACACAACAGCUCUCACCCUGGAAUGGACUUUGAGAGGGAAGCAAAAGGAAGCAUUGCCUUCUUUCCUGGACUUCCCUUUGGAGCACCCCACAACUCUCAGGGGAUUUAGAAGGUAACACAUUUAGAGCUUUCCCAAAAGAAUGUGCAGCUGUGGCUUGAGCAAAAGGUGUUUACUCCCACGGAGGUGGGAUUUUUAUUGCUAGUUUCAACAUCAAGUAGGUGUGAAAGUUAUAUACAAAUCCUGACAAUCAAUACCACCUGAGAAAGGCGAGAAAGAGGGCUGCAUGGGCCAAUGCUUCACAAACUUAAGGUGCACAGCUUGGAAGCAUUGAAUUGUGGGGGGUGGGGAUCUUGUAAAGUGAAGAUUCUGAAUGAGUAGGUGUGGGGUAUGGCCCACAGUCUGUGUUUCCAACAUGCUUCUGCCACAGGAAGACUGCUCUGGACUAAGAAAUAGUCCUGUGCAUUUCUUAGCACCAACGCUCACCUCCCCCCACCAAAAACAUGAAAUAAAAC
rnacentral:lncRNA from 10 species